CCUACGGGUGGCAGCAGUGAGGAAUAUUGGUCAAUGGUCGGGAGACUGAACCAGCCAAGCCGCGUGAGGGAUGAAGGUACAGAGUAUCGUAAACCUCUUUUGUCAGGGAACAAAGGCGGGGACGUGUCCCCGGAUGAGUGUACCUGAAGAAAAAGCAUCCGCUAACUCCGUGCCAGCAGCCGCGGUAAUACGGAGGAUGCGAGCGUUAUCCGGAUUUAUUGGGUUUAAAGGGUGCGGAGGCGGUCUGGUAAGUCGGGGGUGAAAGGCCGGGGCCUAACCCCCGGACGGCCGUUGAAACGGGCAGUCUCGAGUUGGAGAGAGGUAUGCGGAAUGCGCGGUGUAGCGGUGAAAUGCAUAGAUAUCGCGCAGAACUCCGAUUGCGAAGGCAGCAUGCCGGCUCCACACUGACGCUGAGGCACGAAAGCGUGGGUAUCGAACAGGAUUAGAUACCCUGGUAGUC
rnacentral:rRNA from 1 species